CCGUGCUAGGUGGGGAGGUAGCGGUUCCCUGUACUCGAAAUCCGCUUUAUGCGAGACUUAAUUCCUUUGUUGAGGACGUAUUUUUGUGAAGUCUGCCCGAAGCACGUAGUGUUUGAAGAUUUCGGUCCUAUGCAAUAUGAACCCAUGAACCAUGUCAGGUCCUGACGGAAGCAUUAGCUGUCGACUUCGGUAACGUUUAUGAUAUGCGUUCGAUACAAAGGUGCAUGG
rnacentral:SRP_RNA from 1 species